rnacentral:rRNA from 1 species
GCGCACCAGGCGCGAAUCCUUCGCAAUGCGGGAAACUGCGACGAGGGGACUCCCAGUGCCUACGCUCAGCGUAGGCUGUUCCCGAGCCUAGAAAGCUCGGGGAGUAAGGGCUGGGUAAGACGGGUGCCAGCCGCCGCGGUAAUACCCGCAGCCCGAGUGGUGGCCACUAUUAUUGGGCCUAAAGCGUCCGUAGCCGGCCCGGUAAAUGCCUGGGUAAAUCGUGAGGCCUAACCUCACGAAUUCCGGGUAGACUGCCGGGCUAGGGACCGGAGGAGGGAGAGGGGUACUCCAGGGGUAGGGGUGAAAUCCUGUAAUCCCUGGAGGACCACCGGUGGCGAAGGCGCUCUCCUAGGACGGGUCCGACGGUGAGGGACGAAAGCCAGGGGAGCGAACCGGAUUAGAUACCCCUGUAGU